rnacentral:snoRNA from 1 species
ACGACCUUACUUGAACAGGAUCUGUUCUAUAGGAUCGUACCAUUGCAUCCUUGAUUAAUAAGGAGGCAAGCACUUAAGCCUGGUUGAUGAGGCAUGAUCUGUGUUGUGAAAGGGAAUUAGGCUUACACCUAUUUCCUAAUUUAUUUUGGUGGUUGAAUUGCCCAACACAAAUAAUUGGACUAACU